rnacentral:rRNA from 1 species
UACGAAGGGGGCUAGCGUUGCUCGGAAUCACUGGGCGUAAAGCGCACGUAGGCCGAUUGUUAAGUCAGGGGUGAAAUCCUGGAGCUCAACUCCAGAACUGCCCUUGAUACUGGCGAUCUUGAGUCCGGGAGAGGUGAGUGGAACUGCGAGUGUAGAGGUGAAAUUCGUAGAUAUUCGCAAGAACACCAGUGGCGAAGGCGGCUCACUGGCCCGGUACUGACGCUGAGGUGCGAAAGCGUGGGGAGCAAACAGG